CCUUGACAUCCACGGAAUUUGGCAGAGAUGCCUUAGUGCCUUCGGGAACCGUGAGACAGGUGCUGCAUGGCUGUCGUCAGCUCGUGUUGUGAAAUGUUGGGUUAAGUCCCGCAACGAGCGCAACCCUUAUCCUUUGUUGCCAGCGAUUCGGUCGGGAACUCAAAGGAGACUGCCGGUGAUAAACCGGAGGAAGGUGGGGAUGACGUCAAGUCAUCAUGGCCCUUACGGCCAGGGCUACACACGUGCUACAAUGGCGCAUACAAAGAGAAGCGACCUCGCGAGAGCAAGCGGACCUCAUAAAGUGCGUCGUAGUCCGGAUUGGAGUCUGCAACUCGACUCCAUGAAGUCGGAAUCGCUAGUAAUCGUAGAUCAGAAUGCUACGGUGAAUACGUUCCCGGGCCUUGUACACACCGCCCGUCACACCAUGGGAGUGGGUUGCAAAAGAAGUAGGUAGCUUAACCUUCGGGAGGGCGCUUACCACUUUGUGAUUCAUGACUGGGGUGAAGUCGUAACAAGGUAAGCGUAGCGAG
rnacentral:rRNA from 1 species